ensembl:snRNA U6 U6 spliceosomal RNA
GUGCUCACUUCAGCAGCACAUAUACGUUAAAAAAAGGAACGAUAUGGAGAAGAUUAGCACGGCCCGGCGCAAGAAUGACACACAAAUUCGUGAAGUGUUUCAUAUAAAA